rnacentral:rRNA from 1 species
GACAGAGGGGGCAAGCGUUGCUCGGAUUUACUGGGCGUAAAGGGCGCGUAGGCGGCGCAACAAGUCACUUGUGAAAUCUCCGGGCUUAACCCGGAGCGGCCAAGUGAUACUGUCGUGCUAGAGUGCGGAAGGGGCUACUGGAAUUCCCGGUGUAGCGGUGAAAUGCGUAGAUAUCGAGAGGAACACCUGCGGCGAAGGCGGGUAGCUGGGCCGACACUGACGCUGAGGCGCGAAAGCCAGGGGAGCGAACGGG